AGAGUUUGAUCCUGGCUCAGGAUGAACGCUGGCGGCGUGCUUUAGGCAUGCAAGUCAAGGGGGUCUCGCAAGAGACAACCGGCAGACGGGUGAGUAACGCGUAGGAAUCUUCCCUUCGGCGGAGCAUAGCCCCUCGAAAGAGGGUGUAAUUCUCCAUAGUCUCGUUUACGAGUAAAGGCCGUAACUGGCCACCGAAGAAUGAGCCUGCGUCCUAUCAGCUAGUUGGUGGGGUAAAGGCCUACCAAGGCGACGACGGGUAGAUGGACUGAGAGGUCGGUCAGCCACAAUGGCACUUAGAUACGGGCCAUACACCUACGGGUGGCAGCAACCGGGAAUAGUUCGCAAUGGACGAAAGUCUGACGACGCGACGCCGCGAGGAGGAUGAAGGUUUUCGGAUCGUAAACUCCUUUUGUUGGUGGAGAACACCAGAAGAAUUGCCUUAG
rnacentral:rRNA from 1 species